rnacentral:ncRNA from 1 species
UCGCGUAUCAGAAUGACGCGGUGAAUACGUUCCCGGGCCUUGUACACACCGCCCGUCACACCAUGGGAGUGGGUUGCUCCAGAAGUAGAUAGUCUAACCCUCGGGAGGACGUUUACCACGGAGUGAUUCAUGACUGGGGUGAAGUCGUAACAAGGUAGCCCUAGGGGAACCUGGGGCUGGAUCACCUCCUUA